ensembl:lncRNA
AUGUUCCCUACAAUGUGCACUACUUUUCACCAGAGCCCUAUGGGGGAAUUUGGGACGCACACAUUCACUCCUGGAAUUGAAGGGUUGCAAGGGCCCACUGGUUCGUACCUUACAAUGUCAUUUCAUUUUUUAUCAAUAGCUGACUAUAUCCCAUCUCUCAGUCACUUUCAUUUGUCAGUAAAUGACCGUGGACCAAUAAAACAAGGCCCUCUGCUGCACCCUAAACUAGGUGUGAAUACCACACCAGGCCCUCUGCUGCACCCUAAACUAGGUGUGAAUACCACACCAGGCCCUCUGCUGCACCCUAAACUAGGUGUGAAUACCACACCAGGCCCUCUCUGGAAACAAAGGGUUUGUUUUUAUGCCAAAGGACUUCAUUCUCACAUGUUAGCUUUAUUUGUUAAGGGUUCCUUACUUUUUGAUGGUUGUUAUUAUUGCUGAGAAAGUAUGAAUCGCUUUAACAUCAGAACCAUUAUUUUGCACUGAGCUAAACUUAUAGCUGAGCUAAACUGAUUUAAAUCCCCAAACCCACAAAAAGUUAACAAAUUUGCUUCAUUUUGGCUUAAUAUGAAAUUCCAGUGUGUGACCUAAUUGAGUGAUCUAAGAGUGUUUACCAAUGAAAGUGAUUGCUCUGUUUGUUCCUUAGUUAUGUAAUUGACACCACUCACCUUCAAUACCCAGUCUGCGCACCAGAGGGAGCCAGUACGCUGAGUAUUGAAGAAGUGAUAGUCGUAGCCAGUGUCAGUGGUGGAUUUGGAUUGAUACAGUAAUGAUCGUGGUUGUUGUAUAGAAGAAAAUAUACCUGUGGUAGUUUUUUGACAUUGUCAAUUUGUAUUUGAUUCUAAAAUGAAUUCCUGAGGCUUCCAGAUGGUCUGGAAACGACUGUGUUUGAUAAUUUUGCCUAAUCUAAGCAAUACUAUCUCUCUCAGAACUCUCUGAUUUAAAGAAAAUACUUGGAUAAAACAAACUAUAAUCAGCAAAUACUAUUAAUUAUCAAAUUCCCCAGAUCAACUGAAUUCAUAUUGUAUUAGUAAGUUAUUACACUCAUUUUAAUAUUUUUGGCUCGAGUUCGGAGACCAAAUGUGAGUUAUUUCUGAUGGCUCUACAAUGCUGUCAUAGCGAUAUUAUCUAGAUAUUUCUGUUUGUGAAUGAAACUGCGUUUGAGAGUUGGAUAUGGUGCAUAGGACUUGUGACAAGAGUGUUGUUGUGUGAUGUUGUACUGUAUGUCUGUGUGGUUGUAUAUGUGAGUGUUAUAACAUGCAUUAACUUAAUUUUUUUUCAGAAGGGGCCUGCAAUACAAUUGUCAUUGCAGCAUCUGAAAUGCUUUAUCGAGUUGAGCAAAAGGGGUAAGGACCUUGUCAUAGGUGUAACACUGACUGACCCAGUGUGUUCAGAAAUGUUGUCUUACUGAGCAAUGUCUUACAUAAUGUGUUUUUAAAAUCUAAAAAAAAUAAUGUAAUCUACAAGGUGUUCACAACUACUUUUCUGCCAACAAACCUCCAAGCACUAUUCCUGUUGAGAGACAAAGAAGCAUAGCUUUUGUUGUUCAGAUCAGUGCACCGCGAUGCAUCGGCUAUUAAGGUAAAUAGAAUACAAAGUUCUCAUCAGAGGGAUGUGUACCAUGACAUGUACUGGAAACACACAUAGACAUCAUGACUGCGCCAUGGACAGUAUUUUGUUACCCAUAACAUGUAUUUGUCUAUACAGUCUAUUACCACAUUUCAGAACGUCAAUGUGUGUGCCAUGAAUUCAAAUGUUUGGAAUCUGAUGAGGACGAGUAAGAAUUGGGUUGUCUGUUUUUGGUUCUAUCCCUGUGUGAUUGUGGGUAAUCCUUGGUUUACACUGCAAUAACUCAAAGGGGACAUUCUGCAACAGAUGACCCCUAGAGUUUUAAAUAGCACCAACUGCCAUCUGACCGUACGAAGCCCUGUCCUAGAAUCCUCCUCUCUGUGUUCCUCAUGAGUUUAUAGCCCAUGACACCCCCUCAGUUCUCUCCAGUGUUGUACAAAAUGCCACUUACUUUCCACUGACAAGUCUGCCCCUCAGCAAUUGCAUGCACAAUACAACUCGGAUAAUGUGUGUGAAUGGAUUUGGACAAUCCAUUAUAGACAAUGGUGUGCAAAACAAGUGACACAUGUAGAUAAUGUAUAAUAUGUUAUUUUUUAAUUUUGUACCAGCGAACCGCUGAUGUUUAUAACUUGCCUAUUUAUGUACAAAUGUUCUCCUGUACAUACUGAGCAGUCAGUUGGAAUAAAAUGUUUUACAGUAAAAACACUACUUGCUAACAUUGUCACUUGUUCCUAAAUGUAUUAAAUAUAUUUCUUCAUAUAGUAAAGUAUGUUCAGCUGAAAGAUAUUGUAAAAAAUACCAUUAGUAUUAGUAGAAAUAUUAUUGGGACUAUGAUGCUGAAGCUCUGCCUUUCCUGGCAAUCUACCGUUCUGCUUUGUAGAAGCUCCUGUUCUGCAGUAUACCAUCUGUACUUAAUGUUUUCUCUCCCUUCCUCUACCACAUCACCCCUCUGUUAAACUUUCCUAUCUUUUCCUCUUGCCAUUAUUCUCUGUUCCUACCUCCUUUUGUCCUAUCUAUCCGGCCCUCCCUCCCUCCUGUCAAACACUACCUACAGUCUGACCAUGCUGAAGCCAUAACCAGGCUGGCACACCCCACCCACAGAUCCACGCACAUCCCCAACACAAAUCCCCAUUGUGUUUCCAUAUGACUCUGCCAUUGUUUACUGGGCUCAGGCCUGUCAUCUCCCAUUCAUGUCUGGUCUCCUGGCAUUGCUCGCAAGAGUCUGCCCAGCGGGAUGGGCUGGAUGUGGAGUCGAUGCCAGGGAGGGAUCAUGAGAGGAGGGAGCGGCCAUUUACUGGGGCUGGCGCUGCCAAGUGCUGCUGCUUGGGUGACCAG